ACGUGAUCUGAGUUCAGACCGGAGUAAUCCAGGUCGGUUUCUAUCUAUAAUAGCACUUAUUCUAGUACGAAAGGACCGAAAAAGUAUGGCCUAUGCAUAAUGUAAGCCAUUAUUAAUAAAUUAUGAUAUCAACUUAAUUUUUUAUUAUUCUACCAACAACCUCAAGACAAGAGA
rnacentral:rRNA from 1 species